CAGAUUAAAAAAAAACAGCUCAUGCUUAAAUGUGUUAUUGAGCAAGUGACUUCUUAAUACUAUGGCAGGAAUAAAACACUGUUAUAAAAUUAUAAAGGAGGUUUAGUUACAUGUAUAAACUCACAGUCACAAGUGUUAACACCUGGCGCCGUGACCUGGAUGCAGAUUCUAAGCAGAUGGGCCAAAAUGGGGGCAGCUAGAGAGACUCGCCUGGAACUGACAAGCCUGGAGGGAGCUGGUUGACUGUUGGCGAGAUGGGACAACAGACGAAGAAUAAACGAACCUACUUGAUUUGAUAAACAUUUUUAUGUUUUUCAGUUUCGUCGGAAGACAUUUCCCACCAACCAUCCUGUCUUGAAAGAAAUAACUUUUGAACCCGAUUAUCUGAUAUUUUCCAGUUUCCCCUCACAACAAUUUGCAUCAAACCUCUUGUCUGCUCCUCAGCUGAAAUCAUCAUCUAGCAGUCACAAUAGUUGAGCGGUUGGAGAGGCAUGCAUUGCGUCCUACUACUGCUCAGACUAUAUCAUGUUUGGCAGACAAAACAUGCUGAUCAAAAAGAAUGUGUACCACAGGGGCCAGUGUUUCCAUUUGAGUGAUUGACAAGAAGAAGAAGAGAUGAGAAAUGUUAUCAUCAUAUUUUAGUCCCUACAUUUAUAGUGUACAGCUCAAUGUAUUGAACCGGUGUUGUAGAAUAUAAUUGUGAUACAUG